rnacentral:rRNA from 1 species
AAGCAGGGGAUCGUAAGACCUUGUGCUUUUGGAGUGGCCGAUGCCUGAUUAGCUAGUUGGUAGGGUAAUGGCCUACCAAGGCGACGAUCAGUAGUUGGUCUGAGAGGACGACCAGCCACACUGGGACUGAGACACGGCCCAGACUCCUACGGGAGGCAGCAGUGGGGAAUUUUGGACAAUGGGCGCAAGCCUGAUCCAGCAAUGCCGCGUGAGUGAAGAAGGCCUUCGGGUUGUAAAGCUCUUUCAGUUGAGAAGAAAAGGUUGUGACUAAUAAUCACAACUCAUGACGGUAUCGACAGAAGAAGCACCGGCUAACUACGUGCCAGCAGCCGCGGUAAUACGUAGGGUGCGAGCGUUAAUCGGAAUUACUGGGCGUAAAGGGUGCGCAGGCGGCUUUGUAAGUCAGAUGUGGAAUCCCCGGGCUUAACCUGGGAAUUGCGUUUGAAACUACAAAGCUAGA